rnacentral:rRNA from 1 species
CUAACCUGCAAGUCGAGCGGCAGCGGGAGGUGCUUGCACCUCGCCGGCGAGCGGCGGACGGGUGAGUAAUGCAUAGGAAUCUGCCCGGUAGUGGGGGAUAACCUGGGGAAACCCAGGCUAAUACCGCAUACGUCCUACGGGAGAAAGCAGGGGAUCUUCGGACCUUGCGCUAUCGGAUGAGCCUAUGCCGGAUUAGCUGGUUGGUAGGGUAAUGGCCUACCAAGGCAACGAUCCGUAGCUGGUCUGAGAGGAUGAUCAGCCACACUGGGACUGAGACACGGCCCAGACUCCUACGGGAGGCAGCAGUGGGGAAUAUUGGACAAUGGGCGAAAGCCUGAUCCAGCCAUGCCGCGUGUGUGAAGAAGGCUUUCGGGUUGUAAAGCACUUUCAGUGGGGAAGAAAGCCUGUCGGUUAAUACCCGGCAGGAACGACAUCACCCACAGAAGAAGCACCGGCUAACUCCGUGCCAGCAGCCGCGGUAAUACGGAGGGUGCGAGCGUUAAUCGGAAUUACUGGGCGUAAAGCGCGCGUAGGCGGCGUGAUAAGCCGGUUGUGAAAGCCCCGGGCUCAACCUGGGAACGGCAUCCGGAACUGUCGCGCUAGAGUGCAGGAGAGGAAGGUAGAAUUCCCGGUGUAGCGGUGAAAUGCGUAGAGAUCGGGAGGAAUACCAGUGGCGAAGGCGGCCUUCUGGACUGACACUGACGCUGAAGGUGCGAAAGCGUGGGUAGCAAACAGGAUUAGAUACCCUGGUAGUCCACGCCGUAAACGAUGUCGACUAGCCGUUGGGAGCCUUGAGUUCUUAGUGGCGCAGUUAACGCGAUAAGUCGACCGCCUGGGGAGUACGGCCGCAAGGUUAAAACUCAAAUGAAUUGACGGGGGCCCGCACAAGCGGUGGAGCAUGUGGUUUAAUUCGAUGCAACGCGAAGAACCUUACCUACCCUUGACAUCCUCGGAAUCCGCCAGAGAUGGUGGAGUGCCUUCGGGAGCCGAGUGACAGGUGCUGCAUGGCUGUCGUCAGCUCGUGUUGUGAAAUGUUGGGUUAAGUCCCGUAACGAGCGCAACCCUUGUCCCUAUUUGCCAGCGAUUCGGUCGGGAACUCUAGGGAGACUGCCGGUGACAAACCGGAGGAAGGUGGGGACGACGUCAAGUCAUCAUGGCCCUUACGGGUAGGGCUACACACGUGCUACAAUGGCAGGUACAAAGGGUCGCAAGACGGCGACGUGGAGCUAAUCCCAGAAAGCCUGCCUCAGUCCGGAUCGGAGUCUGCAACUCGACUCCGUGAAGUCGGAAUCGCUAGUAAUCGUGAAUCAGAAUGUCACGGUGAAUACGUUCCCGGGCCUUGUACACACCGCCCGUCACACCAUGGGAGUGGACUGCACCAGAAGUGGUUAGCCUAACUUCGGAGG